GACUUCUGGUGUAAUGUGCCUGGCCCGCGGCUCUUUAGGCCUGUGAGUGCCGGUGCGCGUUUACCAUCCUUCUGGGGAACGGGUCUACCCUUUACUGGGCCGGAUUCGGGAUCCAGAUCAUUUACUUGAAAAAAUUAGAGUGUUUAAAGCAAGCAAUUGCCAUGAAUACAUCGGUUCUAUUUUGUUGGUUUCUAUAACUGAAGUAAUGAUUGAUAGGGAUAGUUGGGGGUGCUAGUAUUGGCCGGUCAGAGGUGAAUCGAAAGCAUU
rnacentral:rRNA from 1 species